rnacentral:tRNA from 1 species
GGCUCCAUAGUUCAAUGGAUAGAACGGAGGUUUCCGGAGCCUCAGAUUGUGGUUCGAUUCCACAUGGAGCUA